rnacentral:lncRNA from 1 species
UGCCGGUGCUCCCUUGCUGGCACCGGUGCUCCCCUACCCGCACGGCCGGCCGGAUACUGCAUGGCGGCGCUAGCGCUGCACGAAGAUGAGCCUUCAUAGUCCUUACUCUCUCUGUCUCCCUCAACGAGCACUACGUGCCACGGAUGCGGCGUCGAUGUUGGAGGUGUACCGGUGCUACUGGCACUGGCUCCUCGGCUUUCUCAUCUCCACUGGUGGCGAGGUGGCGGCGCCCUCGAUGUCUCCUGCAUUGACCUCGACAUCAUCAGCGCCGACUACGCGCUCGAGUGCGUCGCCUUUGGUUAGCCUGGCAGAACCUCUCCGGAUCUUCAUGGAUCUCGGUUCGUUGUCGAAGGGGAGCGGGCAAGCGUCGCGCCGUCAGAUGUUGUCGAGCGGGCACAGGCGAGCAUGGCGCAGAACCAAUCUAGUAUUCUAGUCCGUCGUAGAGGCCUUCUCCUGAGUCCUGAGGAAUACACUUGCACUAGGACUCUGAAUGUUUUAGUUUCAGUUCACUGUUGUGUCAAUAUGCACUAGAGGCUUCCUGAGGGAAUCGAAGACCAAGCUGCUCUCAAAUCACAUCUUGUCUGCACUAAUGGCAUUGGGAAGGUGAUGUUUAUUUGCAAGCACGAGCAGGGCAGCAUCUCUGAAUCCCUCCUCAUCCUAUCACUUCCAUUCCGCGAGUUCAUACAGCGUUAGAAGGCUACUGCAAGUGCAAGCAAAGGCUGAACUGAGACGAUGUGCGUGGUAGGUUGUUGAGCGACUGUAGACGAACAAGAUCAGGCCCCGUGAUGAGCCAGAGGUGGCAUUGGAGAUGCCCAUCACUUGUUUGACAAAAUGCCUCAAAGAGAUAACCUUACCAGCUAAGGCCUUGUUUAGUUCCAAAAUAUUUUGCAAAAUUGACACUGUAGCUUUUUCGUUUGUAUUUGACAAAUAUUGUCCAAUCAUGGACUAACUAGGCUCAAAAGAUUUAUCUCGUCAAUUUCG